rnacentral:rRNA from 1 species
AGAGUUUGAUCCUGGCUCAGAUUGAACGCUGGCGGCAGGCCUAACACAUGCAAGUCGAACGGUAACAGAAAGCAGCUUGCUGCUUUGCUGACGAGUGGCGGACGGGUGAGUAAUGUCUGGGAAACUGCCUGAUGGAGGGGGAUAACUACUGGAAACGGUAGCUAAUACCGCAUAAUGUCGCAAGACCAAAGAGGGGGACCUUCGGGCCUCUUGCCAUCGGAUGUGCCCAGAUGGGAUUAGCUUGUUGGUGGGGUAACGGCUCACCAAGGCGACGAUCCCUAGCUGGUCUGAGAGGAUGACCAGCCACACUGGAACUGAGACACGGUCCAGACUCCUACGGGAGGCAGCAGUGGGGAAUAUUGCACAAUGGGCGCAAGCCUGAUGCAGCCAUGCCGCGUGUAUGAAGAAGGCCUUCGGGUUGUAAAGUACUUUCAGCGGGGAGGAAGGGAGUAAAGUUAAUACCUUUGCUCAUUGACGUUACCCGCAGAAGAAGCACCGGCUAACUCCGUGCCAGCAGCCGCGGUAAUACGGAGGGUGCAAGCGUUAAUCGGAAUUACUGGGCGUAAAGCGCACGCAGGCGGUUUGUUAAGUCAGAUGUGAAAUCCCCGGGCUCAACCUGGGAACUGCAUCUGAUACUGGCAAGCUUGAGUCUCGUAGAGGGGGGUAGAAUUCCAGGUGUAGCGGUGAAAUGCGUAGAGAUCUGGAGGAAUACCGGUGGCGAAGGCGGCCCCCUGGACGAAGACUGACGCUCAGGUGCGAAAGCGUGGGGAGCAAACAGGAUUAGAUACCCUGGUAGUCCACGCCGUAAACGAUGUCGACUUGGAGGUUGUGCCCUUGAGGCGUGGCUUCCGGAGCUAACGCGUUAAGUCGACCGCCUGGGGAGUACGGCCGCAAGGUUAAAACUCAAAUGAAUUGACGGGGGCCCGCACAAGCGGUGGAGCAUGUGGUUUAAUUCGAUGCAACGCGAAGAACCUUACCUGGUCUUGACAUCCACGGAAGUUUUCAAAAAUGAGAAUGUGCCUUCCGGAACCCUGAGACAAGUGCUGCAUGGCUGUCCUCAACCCCCUGUUUGGAAAAUGUUGGGUUAAAUCCCCCCAACAAAGGCAAACCCUUAUUCCUUUUGUGGCCACCGGGUCCGGCGCGGGAACUCCAAAGAGAAUUCCCCUUGUAAAAUUGGGGGAAAGGGUGGGGAUGAGCUUCAAGUCUCUAUGGGCCUUACGACCAGGGCUACACACGUGCUACAAUGGCGCAUACAAAGAGAAGCGACCUCGCGAGAGCAAGCGGACCUCAUAAAGUGCGUCGUAGUCCGGAUUGGAGUCUGCAACUCGACUCCAUGAAGUCGGAAUCGCUAGUAAUCGUGGAUCAGAAUGCCACGGUGAAUACGUUCCCGGGCCUUGUACACACCGCCCGUC